GAUGAAGAACACAGCGAAAUGCGAUAAGUAAUGUGAAUUGCAGAAUCCAGUGAAUCAUCGAAUCUUUGAACGCACAUUGCGCCCGCCAGUAUUCUGGCGGGCAUGCCUGUCUGAGCGUCAUUUCAACCCUCGCAACCAGCUUGCUGGAUGCGGUGUUGGGGAUCGGCCACCCGUACUGGGCGGCCGUCCCUUAAAUAGAGUGGCGGUUGCGCUGUGACCUCCUCUGCGUAGUAGCAAUAUCUCGCAGGCGGAUAGCGGUGUAACCACGCCGUAAAACCCCCAACUCUUCUUUGGUUGACCUCAGAUCAGGUAGGAAUACCCGCUGAACUUAAGCAUAUCAAUAAGCGGAGGA
rnacentral:misc_RNA from 1 species